rnacentral:tmRNA from 1 species
CAACGACGACAACUACGCUCUCGCCGCUUAAGGCGUAAGCCCCGAACCCACUUGUGCCCGUGCUCGUGGAUGUAGGGUCAUUAUCACGGAACCGGCUGUGACGGCUGCCUGUCAGUCACCGCUUAACCAAAACAGGCUGGUUACCGGGUGCGCUUCGCGUGCCGUGCUGCCCGGGAGCGAGACCUAACGGAACGCUAAGCAUGUAGUACCGGGAAUGGAGUGCCUCCGGACGCGGGUUCGAUUCCCGCCAUCUCCACCA